rnacentral:rRNA from 1 species
AACGAACGCUGGCGGCAGGCCUAACACAUGCAAGUCGAGCGAAGCCUUCGGGCUUAGCGGCGGACGGGUGAGUAACGCGUGGGAACGUGCCCUUUGGUACGGAAUAGCCCCGGGACACUGGGAGUAAUAGCGUAUGGGGUCGUGAGAAGCAAGAUUUAUCGCCAAAGGAUCGGCCCGCGUUGGAUUAGGUCGUUGGUGGGGUAAUGGCCUACCAAGCCGACGAUCCAUAGCUGGUUGGAGAGGAUGAUCAGCCACACUGGGACUGAGACACGGCCCAGACUCCUACGGGAGGCAGCAGUGGGGAAUCUUAGACAAUGGGGGAAACCCUGAUCUAGCCAUGCCGCGUGAUCGAUGAAGGCCUUAGGGUUGUAAAGAUCUUUCAGUGGGGAAGAUAAUGACUGUACCCACAGAAGAAGCCCCGGCUAACUCCGUGCCAGCAGCCGCCGCGGUAA